CCCCUCUCAGGGUCACACCUGGAGAGUUUCCAGUACUCCACCAGUCUAGACUACAGGAGGGAGAGUCAAGCAGAGGCCUGUCCAUUCCAUUCAUACCUUGGGCAGUGGUUAGCGAGUGGAAGGCAAUCUGCUACAAGU
rfam:Ornithorhynchus anatinus chromosome 3, whole genome shotgun sequence.